rnacentral:rRNA from 1 species
CAGGAUGAACGCUGGCGGCGUGCCUAACACAUGCAAGUCGAGCGAUUCUCUUCGGAGAAGAGCGGCGGACGGGUGAGUAACGCGUGGGUAACUUGCCCUGUACACACGGAUAACAUACCGAAAGGUAUGCUAAUACGAGAUAAUAUACUUUUAUCGCAUGGUAGAAGUAUCAAAGCUCCGGCGGUACAGGAUGGACCCGCGUCUGAUUAGCUAGUUAGGAAGGUAACGGCUUACCAAGGCGACGAUCAGUAGCCGACCUGAGGGGGUGAUCGGCCACAUUGGAACUGAGACACGGU